GAUGAAGAACGUAGCGAAAUGCGAUAAGUAGUGUGAAUUGCAGAAUUCAGCGAAUCAUCGAAUCUUUGAACGCACAUUGCGCCCCUUGGUAUUCCAUGGGGCAUGCCUGUUCGAGCGUCAUUUGUACCUUCAAGCUCUGCUUGGUGUUGGGUGUUUGUCUCGCCUCUGCGUGUAGACUCGCCUUAAAACAAUUGGCAGCCGGCGUAUUGAUUUCGGAGCGCAGUACAUCUCGCGCUUUGCACUCAUAACGACGACGUCCAAAAGUACAUUUUUACACUCUUGACCUCGGAUCAGGUAGGGAUACCCGCUGAACUUAAGCAUAUCAAUAAGCGGAGGA
rnacentral:misc_RNA from 1 species